GGGGCGACCCUGCCUUCGGGCGGGGGCUCCGGGUGGACACUUCAAACUCUUGCGUAACUUUGCAGUCUGAGUAAACUUAAUUAAUAAAUUAAAACUUUUAACAACGGAUCUCUUGGUUCUGGCAUCGAUGAAGAACGCAGCGAAAUGCGAUAAGUAAUGUGAAUUGCAGAAUUCAGUGAAUCAUCGAAUCUUUGAACGCACAUUGCGCCCCCUGGUAUUCCGGGGGGCAUGCCUGUUCGAGCGUCAUUUCACCACUCAAGCCUCGCUUGGUAUUGGGCAACGCGGUCCGCCGCGUGCCUCAAAUCGUCCGGCUGGGUCUUCUGUCCCCUAAGCGUUGUGGAAACUAUUCGCUAAAGGGUGUUCGGGAGGCUACGCCGUAAAACAACCCCAUUUCUAAGGUUGACCUCGGAUCAGGUAGGGAUACCCGCUGAACUUAAGCAUAUCAAUAAGCGGAGGAAUCUUGCUGAAAAACUCGAGCCAUCCGGAAGAUCUGGCGGCCGCUCUCCCUAUAGUGAGUCGUAUUACGCCGGAUGGAUAUGGCGUUCAGGCACAAGUGUUAAAGCAGUUGAUUUUAUUCACUAUGAUGAAAAAAACAAUGAAUGCAACCUGCUCCAAGUUAAAAAUAGAGAUAAUACCGAAAACUCAUCGAGUAGUAAGAUUAGAGAUAAUACAACAAUAAAAAAAAUGGUUUACAACUUACU
rnacentral:rRNA from 1 species